rnacentral:rRNA from 1 species
UACGGGAGGCAGCAGUGGGGAAUAUUGCACAAUGGGCGAAAGCCUGAUGCAGCUAUGCCGCGUGUAUGAAGAAGGCCUUAGGGUUGUAAAGUACUUUCAGUCGUGAGGAAGGUGUUAAGGUUAAUAACCUUAGCAAUUGACGUUAGCGACAGAAGAAGCACCGGCUAACUCCGUGCCAGCAGCCGCGGUAAUACGGAGGGUGCGAGCGUUAAUCGGAAUUACUGGGCGUAAAGGGCACGCAGGCGGUUAAUUAAGUUGGAUGUGAAAUCCCCGGGCUUAACCUGGGAAUGGCAUUCAAGACUGGUUAGCUAGAGUCUUGUAGAGGGGGUAGAAUUCCAUGUGUAGCGGUGAAAUGCGUAGAGAUGUGGAGGAAUACCGGUGGCGAAGGCGGCCCCUGGACAAAGACUGACGCUCAUGUGCGAAAGCGUGGGGAGCAAACGAGGGAUUAGAUACC